CCUACGGGAGGCAGCAGUGGGGAAUAUUGCGCAAUGGGCGAAAGCCUGACGCAGCGACGCCGCGUGAGGGAUGAAGGUCUUCGGAUCGUAAACCUCUGUCAGCAGGGAAGAACGGUCACUGUGCUAAUCAGUAGUGAAUUGACGGUACCUGCAAAGGAAGCACCGGCUAACUCCGUGCCAGCAGCCGCGGUAAUACGGAGGGUGCGAGCGUUAAUCGGAAUUACUGGGCGUAAAGCGCGCGUAGGCGGUAUGUCAAGUCAAGGGUGAAAUCCCCGGGCUCAACGUGGGAAGUGCAUUUGAAACUGGUAAGCUGGAGUGUGUGAGAGGGUAGUGGAAUUCCAGGUGUAGGGGUGAAAUGCGUAGAGAUCUGGAGGAACAUCAGUGGCGAAGGCGACUAUCUGGCACAUAACUGACGCUGAGGAGCGAAAGCGUGGGUAGCAAACAGGAUUAGAUACCCGUGUAGUC
rnacentral:rRNA from 1 species